GCUUCUAUAGCUCAGGAGGUAGAGCGCUACCUUGGUAAGGUAGAGGUCACCGGUUCAAAUCCGGUUAGAAGCUCCA
rnacentral:tRNA from 1 species